ACUGGUGCUAGGGCAGUGAUGUACUUGUAGCGGUUGAAGUAGAAAUUGAUUCUAUGGUGGAGGUGCUGGGGUGUCGUUCCAGCUGAAGAAGUGGUCUCCUGAGAAGUGGAUAGAGUAGCUUCUGAGGUGGUUGGAGGAGAUGGGCUUGUUCUAAGAGUAGAUGUGGGUGUUUGUGGAGGUGAGGUGGUUGAUGCUGCUGAUGUCUCUGCAGAAGUGCUAGUGGGCAUUAGAGAA